UCUGACGGAGCACGCCGCGUGAGUGAUGAAGGCUUUCGGGUCGUAAAACUCUGUUGUUAGGGAAGAACAAGUGCUAGUUGAAUAAGCUGGCACCUUGACGGUACCUAACCAGAAAGCCACGGCUAACUACGUGCCAGCAGCCGCGGUAAUACGUAGGUGGCAAGCGUUAUCCGGAAUUAUUGGGCGUAAAGCGCGCGCAGGUGGUUUCUUAAGUCUGAUGUGAAAGCCCACGGCUCAACCGUGGAGGGUCAUUGGAAACUGGGAGACUUGAGUGCAGAAGAGGAAAGUGGAAUUCCAUGUGUAGCGGUGAAAUGCGUAGAGAUAUGGAGGAACACCAGUGGCGAAGGCGACUUUCUGGUCUGUAACUGACACUGAGGCGCGAAAGCGUGGGGAGCAAACAGGAUUAGAUACCCUGGUAGUCCACGCCGUAAACGAUGAGUGCUAAGUGUUAGAGGGUUUCCGCCCUUUAGUGCUGAAGUUAACGCAUAAGCACUCCGC
rnacentral:rRNA from 1 species